rnacentral:rRNA from 1 species
AUUGAACGCUGGCGGCAGGCUUAACACAUGCAAGUCGAGCGGGGUGAUGGUGCUUGCACUAUCACUUAGCGGCGGACGGGUGAGUAAUGCUUAGGAAUCUGCCUAUUAGUGGGGGACAACAUCUCGAAAGGGAUGCUAAUACCGCAUACGUCCUACGGGAGAAAGCAGGGGAUCACUUGUGACCUUGCGCUAAUAGAUGAGCCUAAGUCGGAUUAGCUAGUUGGUGGGGUAAAGGCCUACCAAGGCGACGAUCUGUAGCGGGUCUGAGAGGAUGAUCCGCCACACUGGGACUGAGACACGGCCCAGACUCCUACGGGAGGCAGCAGUGGGGAAUAUUGGACAAUGGGGGGAACCCUGAUCUAGCCAUGCCGCGUGUGUGAAGAAGGCCUUAUGGUUGUAAAGCACUUCAAGCGAGGAGGAGGCUCUUUUGGUUAAUACCCAAGAUGAGUGGACGUUACUCGCAGAAUAAGCACCGGCUAACUCUGUGCCAGCCGCCGCCGUAA